UUGGCCCCAGCGACCCUCAGACCGAGAUUCCUACUGGUCCCGGGGACCGCGCGUGCGCACUUUGGGUGUGCGGAUGAGUGCGUGCUGGGAUGAGGUAGCGCUUCCUGGGCAUACCUGGCCCGCCACCAUGAGAUGGUAAAUAGCCAAAGACGUCAGUGACACAAACACAGUAAGCAUAGUAGGAGCUGAAAAACUAGAAGCAAUGAAAAUGUCAACUAUUUUGAUCAAAAAUUAGCAGUGUCUUCAGAAUUUGAUCAUAAAACCAGAAAUUAAAGGAUGAGAAAACCAUUUUUCUGAAGCUUAUACUUUCACAUUUCCUAGAGAGCAUAUUUGUAUGGAUGGGGGUAGGUAAACACUCAGCAAAAUUUUCUUUAAAAAGAAGAAACCAUCCUGGUUUGAUGUUACAUAAUCACCAGCUGCCACCUGCUCCCUUCCUGUGCCUGUGAGCCUCCCCAUACGGCUCUGUUGCUUGCAGGCACCCCUGAGCUGAGAGGCAGGCCCUCGCUCCCAGUGGGCAUCUCCCUGGGGCCUUCCUUACACCCUGGAGAACUUCACAGGGAGUCUGUAUCUGUACACACAAAGGCUUCCUGGUCCAGAUGUAGAUACUAGGGCUGACUGGACAUUUAAGUCCUAUGGACUUACUCUGCCAAAAUUAUUUAAUAAUUAAAAAUAAUAUGAAAUUUUUACAAAGUAUCCCCUCCAUAAUAUAAUGAACUUUGGGGUUAUUGCAUUUUAAUGCACAUGUACAGUAUAAAAGAUUAUUAAUUUUUUCAAACAGCUGUUGUCAAAGCUAUUUUGCUUAUAAUGUUUAUGAAAGUGCUUAUAUAGUACAUAUUUUAUGAGACUAGAGAUGUAUAUUUUGUAAUUUCAUUCAGGUAUUAAUAUUCACAUCCAAUGCUGGUUUUGGCUGAUGAGAUUGACAUUGUCUAAUUUCAAGCAUUUUUAAUGUGUAGUAUUUCAGAGCAAGUAUGAAAUAACUAGUCAAAUAUAUACAAAUAUGCCUAACAAUAAGUAGACUUUCUCACACUGAUUACUUGAAACAACUAGGUGGGGCGAAUCAGAUGACCCCGUAUUACAGAAGCAACUAAUGCAAAGCAAAAUAAAGUCACCUGUGUGAGUGCACAGAGGUAGCUGUGGAAGAUGAAACACGAUUUUAGGCUUUAGUUACACUCUGCUGUGAUUUGCUGCCUAGUAUUUUUCAUUAACCCACAAAUACUACAAGUUAUGAAUUGUUUCUAAGUCUAUUAUUAAAGAUAGUCUUGCUUCAUUUCUUCCUAAAAUGAAGACAUAUACAGAGUGUCUAUCUUGCCAGUAUGUGUUAGAAUAAUAUCUUAAUGUGUGUAAAUGUUUAUAGGAAGCUGUAUUUCAAAAAGCUAUGUUUGCAGGUAACAGUAACCUUUUAAGGAACUUUUUUAUUCAAUCUUUUUUCUCUGUAACUAUUCUAGAAUUUCUUAAUGUAAUGUUCAGAACCCUUUUCAUUACCUAUAAUGCUAAGUUUUAGGUAGGUAAUGAGAAACUAAUAACCUAUGGAAAGGUAAUGAAUGAGGAGGCGAGAUGUGUGUCAAUGAAUAAGUUUGUCAGCCCUUGAAUUACGAUUUUAUUCAGGAGGUGAUCAUUGUUGAAGCAUGUAAGGUAAUGGUAUGUAAGACUUAAAGUAAUUGAGCUAAGAUAUUAUUUGAACUAAGUGUAGAAAUAGAAAGGGACAUUUUAAAUGCAUUUAGUUAUUUGUAUCAGAAUAUCUAAAAGAUUUGGUGUGGCUGUUUACUGGAAACAAAUGGCAGACAAUAUUUCUUGGAGUCAUAAAUGACAACAUAAUGUCUCCAACUUCCAUAAGGAAGAAGGAAGUGUAGCUUCUUCCUUCACUUUGUCUUGGCUUAGAUUUCCCUGUGUCAGAGAAGACUUCCCUGGACGUCAGUGACAGUUAUUGAUAGUUCAUGCUAUGAGCUCUUCCCAUUUCUCAGUCCUCUUACUGUAGCUGGGGUCAUGAUACUAGUUAUGGCUGAUUGGUUAGAGCCUUUAAGGGUACAUGUGUGACUUUGCAGCUCUGGCAGGACAAUGAAGGUGCCCCCAUGUCUCAGAUAAUGCAGCCUCCAUCAACCAGUGUCCCUGAAUAACUAGAUCACAGCCACUGCUGACCUGUGGUGGACAUAGAAUGUGGGUAAGCAAUAAACUUACGCUGCACCACUGGGGUUCAGGACCUGGUUUGUUACCACAAAUAGGCAACCUCUUCUAGCACCCCUUUCUAUCUAAAUUUAGCAGCCCUGCCUCACUUCACGACUCCCCAACCUUUCCCCCUGCCUCAGUAUCUUUGUAGCACUGGUCAUUGCAUGACCAGUCUUCACUUUCUCACAUCACUUCUCCCGGCCUUCUCUCCUGUGCACACACAGUAAAAUGUAAACCCCAUGCCUGGCCAAAAUAAGUAUUUGUUAAAUAAAGUUUUCCAGUUCUGUUUGUGAUUUAUCAGAAACAAGGAAAGAAAUUCUCUAAAAGGUGAUCUGUGCUUUGUCAAUUCUCAUUUAGGGCACUUGACACUUUUUUAAUGGCUGUGCAUUUUUUAUGAUGAAUAUAAAGUAUUUAGCAGAAAUGUUUUUUAUUAAAAUCUUUGAGCUUGUCGAAUGAAUCUAGCAGCCUGUGUGAAAUAAAAACUGCUAGAGUCA